rnacentral:rRNA from 1 species
GAUGAACGCUAGCGGCAGGCUUAACACAUGCAAGUCGAGGGGCAGCAUAAUGAAGUAGCAAUACUGAAUUGAUGGCGACCGGCGCACGGGUGCGUAACGCGUAUGCAACCUACCCAUAACAGGGGGAUAACACUGAGAAAUUGGUACUAAUACCCCGUAACAUCAUUUGAGGCAUCUCAGAUGGUUGAAAGUUCCGGCGGUUAUGGAUGGGGCAUGCGUUGUAUUAGCUAGUUGGUGGGGUAAUGGCUCACCAAGGCGACGAUACAUAGGGGGACUGAGAGGUUAACCCCCCACAUUGGUACUGAGACACGGACCAA